rnacentral:rRNA from 1 species
AGUGAACGCUGGCGGUAGGCCUAACACAUGCAAGUCGAACGGCAGCACAGUAAGAGCUUGCUCUUACGGGUGGCGAGUGGCGGACGGGUGAGGAAUACAUCGGAAUCUACUUUUUCGUGGGGGAUAACGUAGGGAAACUUACGCUAAUACCGCAUACGACCUACGGGUGAAAGCAGGGGAUCUUCGGACCUUGCGCGAUUGAAUGGGCCGAUGUCGGAUUAGCUAGUUGGCGGGGUAAAGGCCCACCAAGGCGACGAUCCGUAGCUGGUCUGAGAGGAUGAUCGGCCACAUUGGAACUGGGACAGGGUCCAGACUCCUGCGGGAGGCAGCAGUGGGGAAUAUUGGACAAUGGGGGCAAGCCUGAUCCAGCCAUACCGCGUGGGUGAAGAAGGCGUUCGGGUUGUAAAGCCCUUUUGUUGGGAAAGAAAAGCAGCAGGUUAAUACCCCGCGGUUCUGACGGUACCCAAAGAAUAAGCACCGGCUAACUACGUG